CGUAGAGUCCCUUCUGUUGCGUUUUGCAGGCGCCACGGGGCGAUUCGGAUCCUCGGAGCGAAUCCUCGAGCGAGUUCUGCCGGACGGUACGAUUCGAUGCAAAGAAGGAGCGGGAGCGGCGCACGUAGCGAAGAGUCUUCCUUGGCUUCCGGUUAUGAAGGCUGACGCUCUGGAAUUGUGCGGAGCGGCGAUGUUUUGAGGCACACGAUGCAAAAGUUGAACCUGCCGAGAGGAGCGGAGCUCGCUCGCUUCCCCCCGGGAAUACAAAUUGCAGAGACGACGUCACCUUAAAGAGGAAAACUUAUACGUGCAAAGCCAUAGAACGAGUACGUAACCGGAGCGAGAGAUGCGGAAAAGGUGCUCUGUAGUAGGUAGAGAAUUGCAGGCGCUAAAUAGUUGGCCUUACUAUUAAGGUAGUAAUGAAUUUUUAGGGUUUAGCUGUAUUUAUAAAGAUGAGUAAAAAGUGAAUAAAUGUAAUGGUCAUUAGUAGAGCGAUGAGGCAGUAAGUGUUGUUUAUCAUUGUUGUACAAGUACAUUCUGGAAUUGAAAGGUAAGUAAUAGAAAACUUAGUUGGAGGCAGUAAUGGACAAAUUUAAACAUAAAAACAGCUUAAAGAGAAAUUAGAGGCAGUAACGUAUCCCAAUCGUAAUCACGGCAGUAACCGAAAGCGCAAAGCUAAGCGGGCGUCUCUAAUGCCCGUAGGUCAACGUAGCUGUUGGAAAGGAAAAAUUUAAAAAAAAUCUUACAAUUGUUGAUAGCUCUCACCGGGUACCACAAAAUAAAGUAAAUUUUGUAAAGGGUAAUUUAAAUGAGACUUAGGCAUCGGAAGGAGAGUUGUCAGUACCUAGAGGUAAACAUAGCUGUUGACAGGUUAAAGGAAAGGAUGAGCGUUACCGGCUCCUAAGUAGAUCUAAAUUAGUUGCGUAAAGGUUUUCUUUUUAUCGCCUUUGAGCGGUUUAAAGAAAUGUGGAAUACUAUGCGGCGUAAUCGAUGUCCAAACAACACGCCGAUGUUAACGAGGCUCUAGCGGGCACAAAUGAAGUCCGAGUAGUAUUAGAGGAAGGAUAUCAAGCUGUGCAGUAACGACGGAACGCUCGUACGGAUGUGGCAAACAACCUUAAUUGCUGUGAGCGCUAAUGAUGGUAGUUAAAGUACUCCUUAUUAGGGUUCUAAGGUAUACCAGAACUCCUUUGAUUUUUAGAAAGCUUUAAUAAAGAUUUCUUUGCUUUUUGUC